AUUGAACGCUGGCGGCAUGCCUUACACAUGCAAGUCGAACGGCAGCACGGGGGCAACCCUGGUGGCGAGUGGCGAACGGGUGAGUAACGCAUCGGAAUGUACCCAGUAGUGGGGGGAUAACUAGUCGAAAGACUAGCUAAUACCGCAUACGCACUGAGGUGGAAAGCGGGGGAUCGCAAGACCUCGCGCUAUUGGAGCAGCCGAUGUCCGAUUAGGUAGUUGGUGGGGUAAAGGCCUACCAAGCCUGCGAUCGGUAACUGGUCUGAGAGGACGACCAGUCACACUGGGACUGAGACACGGCCCAGACUCCUACGGGAGGCAGCAGUGGGGAAUUUUGGACAAUGGGCGCAAGCCUGAUCCAGCAAUGCCGCGUGUGUGAAGAAGGCCUUCGGGUUGUAAG
rnacentral:rRNA from 1 species